UACGUAGGGUGCGAGCGUUGUCCGGAAUUAUUGGGCGUAAGGCGUACGUAGGCGGUCCAGCAAGUCGGGUGUGAAAGCCCUCGGCUUAACCGAGGAAGUGCAUUCGAAACUACUGGACUUGAAUACUGGAGAGGAUCGCGGAAUUCCCGGUGUAGAGGUGAAAUUCGUAGAUAUCGGGAGGAACACCAGUGACGAAGGCGGCGAUCUGGACAGAUAUUGACGCUGAUGUACGAAAGCGUGGGGAGCAAACAGG
rnacentral:rRNA from 1 species